rfam:Oryza glaberrima chromosome 12 Oglab12_0074_7, whole genome shotgun sequence.
AUAUAGGGGAUUUUUGAGUUUUUGCUUGUAACGUUUGACUACUCGUCUUAUUCAAUUUUUUUUAAAAAAAUUAUUAUUUAUAUUUGUGACUUACUUUAUUAUCCACAGUACUUUAAGCGCAACUUUUCAUUUUUGAUAUUUGCAAAAAAAAUUUGAAUAAGACGAGUGGUCAAACGUUGCAAGUAAAAACUCAAAAGCCCUUAUA